UACGUAGGGGGGCAAGCGUUGUCCGGAUUUAUUGGGCGUAAAGAGCGUGUAGGCGGUCAGGUAGGUCAGCUGUGAAAACUCGAGGCUCAACCUCGAGACGCCGGUUGAAACCAUCUGACUAGAGUCCGGAAGAGGAGAGUGGAAUUCCUGGUGUAGCGGUGAAAUGCGCAGAUAUCAGGAAGAACACCCGUGGCUAAGGCGGCUCUCUAGUACGGUACUGACGCUGAGACGCGAAAGCGUGGGGAGCGAACAGG
rnacentral:rRNA from 1 species